AUAACAUGGUUAUAUACAGGAAGUAUCAGGUAAUAACAUGGCUAUAUACAGGAAGUAUCAGGUAAUAACAUGGCUAUAUACAGGAAGUAUCAGGUAAUAACAUGGUUAUAUACAGGAAGUAUCAGGUAAUAACAUGGCUAUAUACAGGAAGUAUCAGGUAAUAACAUGGUUAUAUACAGGAAGUAUCAGGUAAUAACAUGGCUAUAUACAGGAAGUAUCAGGUAAUAACAUGGCUAUAUACAGGAAGUAUCAGGUAAUAACAUGGUUAUAUACAGGAAGUAUCAGGUAAUAACAUGGCUAUAUACAGGAAGUAUCAGGUAAUAACAUGGUUAUAUACAGGAAGUAUCAGGUAAUAACAUGGCUAUAUACAGGAAGUAUCAGGUAAUAACAUGGCUAUAUACAG